rnacentral:rRNA from 1 species
UACGUAGGGUGCGAGCGUUAAUCGGAAUUACUGGGCGUAAAGCGUGCGCAGGCGGUUUUUUAAGCCAGAUGUGAAAUCCCCGAGCUUAACUUGGGAACUGCAUUUGGGACUGCAAGGCUAGAGUACGGCAGAGGGGGGUAGAAUUCCUGGUGUAGCAGUGAAAUGCGUAGAUAUCAGGAGGAAUACCGAUGGCGAAGGCAGCCCCCUGGGUCGAUACUGACGCUCAUGCACGAAAGCGUGGGGAGCAAACAGG